UUUUUGGUUCCUGAAAAAACGAUUAUCGGUGAUGACGCAAUUUCAACGAAAAUAAUCGAUAAAGAUCGAUCUUUUGGGUAUAAUCGCACAUCUCUAACCUCGUUUAUUAAUCUACCUUUUUUAUUUUAUCUGAUUACUGAAAUUAUCCUGCAAGAGUAUUACAACACAUUCUUUAAAAUAUCGAGUGGAAUGGAUAAAAUCAAGCAACAAGCCACAGAGCAAUGUUGUCUAUUCCAUAUUAAAAUACAUAUGUAAUCGAUAAAUAGACAUUUAUUGAAGAUACUCUCGUUGGCAACAAAGGUUUGAAUGAGCGUCUUAUGAUAUGACACCUCGAUUCCCAAGAUUGACUUGUGACUGUGGGAUGGACAAAAGAUAUUAUCUUAAUGGUUACAGAAAAGUAUGUUAAAAAGCUAAUAUGAGCGUUUCAAGUACGUUUGCUGAAUUUGAAUGGUCAAACAAAACAAAGUGGUGCAAAAGCUGAGGGACUAGAGAAACCUGCUAAAUGAUUUAUGAUCUUCUCCCGCCUUGCCUGAUAAAAAAAAUUUAAGUCAAUAGUCUACCUUGAUGGCAAUAUGUAUUAUCUUGGAUGUCUUAUACCUUACAGCUUUAUCACCAGCAAUAAUGAUUAUAAAUUGAUCAGCAUACUAAUUCCAUUCAUGCAUUAUCUUCAAACAAUAUUCUAUUCCUGUCUAUUCAAUUGAUAAUCUGGUCUGUUACUAUCAUGUGUCCAUCAAUGAACCAUUCAAGGUCUUUUAUCAUCAACAUCAUGAUCCUCCUUCUCCUCACCAUCAUUUCCAGCCUGUUUUCAAGAGAGUCAUUCCUAUUAUUAUUACAAUCUAGCUGAUUAUGUAUGAGCCUGUAACCAUAAUCUUCUAAUGAUGAAAAGACCGUUUAAUUACUUCUAAACUUCUUUUACUUCAUCAUCAACUUAUCUUGUUUCUCUUUCUUUCUCCAAACAUCUUACCUUCCCAAAAAGAGAGAACAGAAAGAGAAAAAGAUUGUGAAAAAAGUAAAAGAUGAUGAGGAUGAGAAAGGAGGAACAAGAAAAAACAUUGUGAGAGUAACUCAAUAUCUUGGAUACACCUUGACACUUUAGCGCAAUCAUGUCAUUCCAAUGAAAUGUCAACUGGAAAAAUUAAAGAAGGGAAAUAAUACAAAAUAGUUGCGUUCAACAAGAAUCAAGGAGUACAACGAAGCAAUAGGAAGAUGAAAUAAUAACUUUACAAACAAACCUCUCAGUAGGCGCAUUUGUUUUUCACGGAUAAUUUGCAUUCAGGCCUUUGGUCCACCUUUGGAUUGCAACCCAAUCUUUUUUGGUCUUCAAAAGUUAUUUAAACAAGUUUAACGCCGUUAAUAAUCAAACUGAUCAACUGUACAAAUAUUAUAAUCACACCAAAGUCAAUUAAUUACACCAAAGGCAAAUGAAAGGCAAUGGAAGAGGCAGCAACGGUGCAAUGGCGUUUCUUUCAAGCCCAUUCUGGAAAUAUUGAUGAAUAAGUAAACCAAUUGAAAGAAACUUUCCAUUAAUAUUUGCUGUCUUCAUACUAACUGAAUCUGUGUAGUCAAUAAUUCAAUCGAUUUGAUGAUUCAAUACUUUCUCAAGCCAUUUAUAUUCAAACAAAGCUCAGCCUUUUGGAAGAUGGAAACAAAAAUUGAUUGUCUGCAGAAACAGAAAUCAUCGUUAAUCAUUUAAAUAUGCAUGUAUGGUCAUGUUUGGUUAAAAUGCACUCGGAUGUGGUUACAAAACAAAAUUAAGAUCAAUCAUGUUGAUUAACGCUGACAAUUUAAAAUUUCUCCAACAAAAGUCAUUAAUCUAAUAAUUAUACGAAACAACCUGAAGACAAAAUGAAGGACAAUUUGCAUGAAAACAUUAUAAUGGGCAAUCAUUUGAUUAAUAAUCUCAUUUAGAUUUUUAAUGAUUACUCUUGUCGCAUUUUUCAAUUUGAAUAAUUUUACCUUUACAUUUCAAAAUUAUGUAACUGAUUACCGAUCUUAGAUCAGGUUAAAUUGUUUUUGGUUAGACUGUUGAUCAA